AUUUGUUAGCAUGUAGUUGGUAGUAUGUAGUUAGUAGUAUGUAGUUAGUAGUAUGUAGUUAGUAGUAUCUAGUUGGUAGUAUCUAUUUAGUAGUAUGUAGUAGGUAGUUGGUAGUAUGUAGUUGGUAGUAUGUAGUUGGCAGUAUGUAUUUGGUAGUAUGUCAUUGGCAGUAUCUAUUUAGUAGUAUGUAGUUGGUAGUAUGUAGUUGGUAGUAUGUCAUUGGCAGUAUCUAUUUAGUAGUAUGUAGUUGGUAGUAUGUAGUUGGUAGUAUGUACUUGUUAGUAUGUAUUUAGUAGUAUGUAGUUGGUAGUUGGUAGUAUGUAUUUGGUAGUAUGUAGUUGGUAGUAUUUAUUUAGUAGUGUGUAGUUGGUAGCUGGUAGUAUGUAUUUGGUAGUAUGUAGUUGGUAGUAUGUAGUUGGUUGUAUGUAGUUGGUAGCUGGUAGUAUGUAUUUGGUAGUAUGUAGUUGGUAGUAUGUAGUUGGUUGUAUGUAGUUGGUAGUUGGUAGUAUGUAUUUGGUAGUAUGUAGUUGGUAGUAUCUAUUUAGUAGUAUGUAGUAGGUAGUUGGUAGUAUGUAGUUGGCAGUAUGUAGUUGGUAGUAUGUAGUUGGUAGUAUGUAGUUGGUAGUUGAUAGUAUGUAUUUGGUAGUAUGUAGUUGGUAGUUGGUAGUAUGUAUUGGGUAGUAUGUAUUUGGUAGUAUGUAGUUGGUAGUAUUUAUUUAGUAGUGUGUAGUUGGUAGCUGGUAGUAUGUAUUUGGUAGUAUGUAGUUGGUAGUAUGUAGUUGGUAGUAUGUAGUUGGUAGUAUGUAGUUGGCAGUAUGUAUUUGGUAGUAUGUCGUUGGCAGUAUCUAUUUAGUAGUAUGUAGUUGGUAGUAUGUAGUUGGUAGUAUGUACUUGUUAGUAUGUAUUUAGUAGUAUGUAGUUGGUAGUUGGUAGUAUGUAUUUGGUAGUAUGUAGUUGGUAGUAUUUAUUUAGUAGUGUGUAGUUGGUAGCUGGUAGUAUGUAUUUGGUUGUAUGUAGUUGGUAGUAUGUAGUUGGUUGUAUGUAGUUGGUAGCUGGUAGUAUGUAUUUGGUAGUAUGUAGUUGGUAGUAUGUAGUUGGUUGUAUGUAGUAUGUAGUUGGUAGUAUGUAUUUGGUAGUAUGUAGUUGGUAGUAUUUAUUUAGUAGUGUGUAGUUGGUAGCUGGUAGUAUGUAUUUGGUAGUAUGUAGUUGGUAGUAUGUAUUUGGUAGUAUGUAGUUGGUAGUAUGUAUUUGGUAGUAUGUAGUUGGUAGUUGGUAGUAUGUAGUUGUUAACACUUUAUAUCACAAGUUAUGUUGUCUUUAUAUAUGACAGUACAAAUAUGCCCAGGUAUUUACUUCUAAACUACAUGUUAAAUGGACAGUACAGUAAUAAUAGCCUGCUAUGUGGCUACGGGCUGUGCUUGCGCAGGAAUAGGAGGAGCUGAGUGGGAGCCAAACCAAGCUUUGGUGUUUAGCGUGCAGGACAGGUCAGGACAGGACAGGUCGGGACAGGUCAGAGAGCUGGCAUCAUUCACCACCUCUUAGGCUCCUUCCUCCUCCUCGUCUUCCUCUCCCUCCUCUUAAGGCUUUUCCAGUAGGUCAGUGUUACAGAGGAGACACGUUCCUCCUCCUCCUCCUCCUCCUCCUCCUAUUCCCCCUCUUCCUCCUCUCCCUCCCUCUCCUCUUCCUCCUCCUCCUCCUCCUAUUCCCCCUCUUCCUCCUCCCCCUCUCUCUCCUCUUCCUCCUCCUCCUCCUCCUAUUCCCCCUCUUCCUCCUCCCCCUCCCUCUCCUCCUCCUCCUCCUCCUCCUCCUAUUCCCCCUCUUCCUCCUCCCCCUCUCUCCCUCU
rnacentral:lncRNA from 1 species